CCAUUGUAGGUAUUUUGGUCGCCCAUUUCUCCUGAGAUGAAAGGUUGGCGAAGGACCUACCUGCUCAGCCAAUCACUGGUCAAGAUGAGACACUGCUGCGGACAUGAAUAGGCUGCGUAGGUCUUUUGCCUAGGAAGCCGGAAGAAGAGAAGAGUGGUAAGGGACCAGAAGGAACUACAGUGGGGGCAACAGCAGGAACAGCAGAGAAUCAGAGGUGGAGAAGACAGAUAAUUAUGUAAGAGGACGAUCCGGGACCCGCAGAGGAAUUAUCACCUUCCCUGUGAGAUGGACACGUUGAACUGGAUGUGGACAUUUAUUUCGGAGGUGCGAGGAGAGAGGUUGCAGUAAAUGAUUGUAAUGAGCCAUCCUGACAGCUCCUGUCCUCGCCUUCAUCAGGUUCAGCUCACAUAUUGACCCGCUCUGCUUUUCAACAUUUCAUUAAUGAUUUAUGAAGAAUUCCUAUUAGGUGUAUUGGACUCCUUAGGUCCCCGGGAUCCUCAUUCUACAUUUCAUCUUUUUCCCGAUACUUGAAGGCUUUUUCCCAGAGGCCGGACAGUGGAUUCAGCACAUUGAUAGCUGCCCAUGAAAGCUGAUAUUGAUCGAGACUUUCCUUAGAUGUAACAAUGUUUGUUACCUUUGAUACGGUCCGCCAGUCGCAUCGGGCGCAGGGAAAAUACACAAAAGCCUUUUACACCGUCCAACAGCAGGAGCCAUGUAGACUCUAUCCCCCUAACAGGAUAACAGCGGCAAAUGUCACUGGGAACCAAUGUACCGUCCAUAUUGUGCGCGGGAGCCGGGUUAUGUAU